UUUUGUCCAACAGGUUGGUCUAAUAGUCUGUUUCUUUUUGCCAGUUAAAGAUGAUCUAAAAUCAAGAAAACCAGCCUGUGCAGCGAGGGGUAGGGCAGAUAUGCACUUCGUCAUCAUGACCUCUCGUCUUCAACACUUUCCCACAGGCCACGCAAGAUUUUUUACCGAUAUCCAGGAGCCUGGCUAUGAUGGCACCCCCUGGUAGGCUGCAAAAAAGAUGAGGAGUUAUGGUACCUGGCACACACAAAUCUCUGUAAACGUUUGACGUAGCCACCAGCAAUCACAGUAAACAGAGUGAAGCCAUAAAGAAGACCUUUGUUUGGAGGGAAGACAAAGGUCAGACAUAUAACCAAAUAAAAGUUACAUUUUUGCAUAUAUGUAUUAUUUCACUGAGUGGUGAUGACUAUCACAGUUGUACAAUAACAGAAGUUACACUUUGAAUUGACACAGAUAUCAUUGGCACGUUAGUUCUUUUGUAUUAGUAUUUGUGGUUGUGGCUGUGAUUUGAUUGUAAUACUGUACGUUCCAUCUGUUAUUCCAGUCUUGACCACUAGGAGUCACAAGACUGACAGAUGAAUGUUUUACUUUUUUUUUUUUUUGUACAAAAGUCUAAUUGUACUGGUAUUGUAGUUGUACCAAUGAGCAGGUAUCUCAUGUAGUCUGGCUCCAAAGGCUUCAUGAGACAUUUCUUGCUAAGCACAGUGAUGUUCCCUUUCUGCAGGAUGUCAAAUGAGGCUGCGAUGUCCCGAAAGAUAUCUGAGGCAUAACCAGAUCCAUUCACAUUCACUGCAACCACUACAGGAGCUGGAGGGCCUGAUGUAGGCGAGAGUUUCUCUGUGGCUGAGGGGAAGUACAGCUGCUUUGCCCUGUCUGGAGCGCUUCCUGUCCAGCUCAAUAAACUGGUCAGUGAUGUAGAUGUUUUCAAAGUUAUCAUUAUGAAGGUACUGAUUUUUGUACAAAACGGCCCUGUUCACAAACACAUAAAAAACAACUGAAAAUAUGAAAAUACUGAUGGAAAUACAUUUCUACAAUAGAGGAAUAUUAUUAACUACAA
rnacentral:lncRNA from 12 species